rnacentral:rRNA from 1 species
UACAGAGGUCUCAAGCGUUGUUCGGAAUUACUGGGCGUAAAGGGCGCGUAGGCGGACAGUUUAGUCAGAGGUGAAAGCCCAGGGCUCAACCUUGGAAUUGCCUUUGAUACUGGCUGUCUUGAGUUCGGGAGAGGUGAGUGGAAUGCCGAGUGUAGAGGUGAAAUUCGUAGAUAUUCGCAAGAACACCAGUGGCGAAGGCGGCUCACUGGCCCGAUACUGACGCUGAGGCACGAAAGCGUGGGGAGCAAACAGG